rnacentral:rRNA from 1 species
GUGUCAGCCGCCGCAGUAAUACGUAGGGGGCGAGCGUUGUCCGGAAUGACUGGGCGUAAAGGGUACGUAGGCGGCCAGGUAAGUCAGGUGUGAAAUUCUAGGGCUCAACCCUAGAUAGCACUUGAAACUGCUUGGCUUGAGUCGAGGAGAGGGAAGCGGAAUUCCUGGUGUAGCGGUGAAAUGCGUAGAUAUCAGGAGGAACACCAGUGGCGAAGGCGGCUUCCUGGCCUUGGACUGACGCUGAGGUACGAAAGCGUGGGGAGCAAACAGGAUUAGAUACCCUGGUAGUCCACGCCGUAAACGAUGAGUGCUAGGUGUCGGAGGGUUUAUCCUUCGGUGCCGAAGUUAACACAUUAAGCACUCCGCCUGGGGAGUACGGUCGCAAGACUGAAACUCAAAUAAAUUGACGG